AUGCAGAAAGUUAGUGAUGAGAAUCGAGAAAGAGCGUUAAAUCCUCAACAUCCCUAUAGAAAGUCACAUUUAGGGUGUGCUCGUCUUGAAGCUGAUAUGGUAGAAGAGUCAGAAGUUGGUGAGAUAAACCGUAGUCAAGUGUGGAAGGCUGCCCGCGUCAAUAAGAGCGGGGUGAUUGAUAAUGAGAAUGUUCAAAGAGUUGUGGAUCAAUGUGAUUGUAUCUAUGAGUUCAACGCUUUUGGAUCAUGA